rnacentral:rRNA from 1 species
ACGCUGGCGGCAGGCCUAACACAUGCAAGUCGAGCGGUAGAGAGGAGCUUGCUUCUCUUGAGAGCGGCGGACGGGUGAGUAAUGCCUAGGAAUCUGCCUGGUAGUGGGGGAUAACGUUCGGAAACGGACGCUAAUACCGCAUACGUCCUACGGGAGAAAGCAGGGGACCUUAAACGGGCCUUGCGCUAUCAGAUGAGCCUAGGUCGGAUUAGCUAGUUGGUGGGGUAAUGGCUCACCAAGGCGACGAUCCGUAACUGGUCUGAGAGGAUGAUCAGUCACACUGGAACUGAGACACGGUCCAGACUCCUACGGGAGGCAGCAGUGGGGAAUAUUGGACAAUGGGCGAAAGCCUGAUCCAGCCAUGCCGCGUGUGUGAAGAAGGUCUUCGGAUUGUAAAGCACUUUAAGUUGGGAGGAAGGGUUGUAGAUUAAUACUCUGCAAUUUUGACGUUACCGACAGAAUAAGCACCGGCUAACUCUGUGCCAGCAGCCGCGGUAAUACAGAGGGUGCAAGCGUUAAUCGGAAUUACUGGGCGUAAAGCGCGCGUAGGUGGUUAGUUAAGUUGGAUGUGAAAUCUCCGGGCUCAACCUGGGAACUGCAUUCAAAACUGACUGACUAGAGUAUGGUAGAGGGUGGUGGAAUUUCCUGUGUAGCGGUGAAAUGCGUAGAUAUAGGAAGGAACACCAGUGGCGAAGGCGACCACCUGGACUGAUACUGACACUGAGGUGCGAAAGCGUGGGGAGCAAAC